rnacentral:rRNA from 1 species
AUGUACUCCAAUUCUGGGAGCAUAACAGAUGCGAAGCCUAAGAAAGAGGUUUACGUGUGUGUCAUUGAUCUCCUUGCUCGUGCAGGGAGGCUGAGACAUGCAUUUGACCCUAUUGAUAAAAUGCAAUUUGCUCCUGAUGAAUCUAUUUGGGGAACAUUAGUUGGUGCCUGCAAGAUGCACAGGAAUGUGGAGCUGGGCAGAUUGGUUGCAAGGAAGAUCAUCGAGGUCAAUCCUGAUGGAGCAAAGAAUUACAUCCUACUCCCUCCGUCCCAAAAUAAGUGUCUCAAAUUUGUAUUAACUUUAGUAUAA